UAUAUGCAUUUAUGCAGUAGAAUGUAUACUGUAUGAUAUGUAUGUAUAUACCAUAUACACAGUAGGUGUAUUUAAAACUCAACCAAUCGACCUGUUCUGGGUAUUUUGUAUGAAUGGAACACUCCACAAUCUAGUUGUAUCCUUCUUCCUUCACUUAGCAUUGCCUCAUCCACCUGUCAGUCAUACCCAAGCAAGUUUCCCUCCACCUCUCGUGUUCAUCUGAGCUCAGUAGAUCUUGGAAGGAAGUGAAUCUCACAAAAACGGGUUUCUAAAUCUCCAGCGCCUUCCACCAGUGAGGGGUCCAGAGGUCUCCUGGGGUAACAGUGGGAGCAGUGGUAUCCUAAAGACUCAGGUGGGAAAAGAGUGGUUAGUCAGGACAUGCUUUUAGUGUAUAGCUGCACUAAAUUUGCUAUAAGCACACACACACAUCAAUGGUUUGCUAUGGCUUUCCCUUUUACAGUUGUCUUCAUUUACUAAGGUUAUCAUUCCCAUUGCUUUGCUGGUUGUAUCAUUUCCAUUCUUUACCAUGCUGUAUUUUAUGACCAUCUUUUGAAAGUGAGGGAAUUUCUCCAGGAACUAGAACACUGAGCAGCUCCUAGGCCGUCCCAGAAGUACUGUGGCAGCAAUUCUAUGUUGACACUAGGUGGCGCUCAUGUGCUACUGCAAGAGGCUCUAAUGCGCAAAAGUGUUUGGCAAACGAAAUUGCCUUCCUUGUGUGUAAGCUCAGAGACUGGUCCCGUGAGCGGCAUGUGCCUCUUGGGAUAUAGAUUAUUUCAGCCCCCUUCUCUUUCUUUAACUAUUUUUUUUAAAGUGCUGUUUUUGUUUGUUGUUUGUUUUUUUUUUUUUUUUUUUUUUUUUUUUUUUUUGACUUUGGCCUCCUGGCUAAGCAAAAGCUCUAGGGUUAGGUCAAGUGCAAAUACUAUUUCUUCAUUGGCUGCUCCAUGGCUUUGGACAUUCCCUUCUUCUCCAAGUCCACUUCUGUUCACCUAA
rnacentral:lncRNA from 1 species